UACGUAGGGUGCAAGCGUUAUUCGGAAUUACUGGGCGUAAAGCGCGCGCAGGCGGUUGUGCAAGACAGAUGUGAAAUCCCCGGGCUCAACCUGGGAAUUGCAUUUGUGACUGCACGGCUAGAGUGUGUCAGAGGGGGGUAGAAUUCCACGUGUAGCAGUGAAAUGCGUAGAGAUGUGGAGGAAUACCGAUGGCGAAGGCAGCCCCCUGGGAUAACACUGACGCUGAUGCACGAAAGCGUGGGGAGCAAACAGG
rnacentral:rRNA from 1 species